rfam:Asian citrus Psyllid, Diaphorina citri - Florida Strain, whole genome shotgun sequence.
GCCUAGUUAGCUUGGUUGGUAGUGCUUCUACCUUGUAAGUACUAGACCACGGGUUCGAUUCCCGUCCGGGGCG